rnacentral:lncRNA from 1 species
UAGGAUUUGGUUUAGGAUUUUGGAUUUGGUAGGGUUUGGUUUAGGAUUUAGAAUUUGAUUUAGGAUUUGGUUGGAGUUUGGUUUAGGAUUUGUUUAGGAUUUGAUUUAGGAUUUAGGAUUUAGUUAGGAUUUGAUUAGGAUUUGGUUUAGGAUUUAAAGUUUGGUUAGGAUUUUAUUUAAAGUUUAGGAUUGAUUUAAGAUUUGGUUAGGAUUUAUCUUAGGAAUUAGUUAAGAUUUGGUUUAGGAUUUAAAAUUUGAUUUAAGAUUUAGGGUUUGAUUUAGGGUUUAGGAUUUGUUUAGGAUUUGGUUUAGAAUUUCAUUUAGGAUUAAGAGUUUGGUUGGAAUUAGGUUUAGGAUUUAGAAUUUGAUUAGGGUUUCAUUUAGAGUUUGGUUUAGGAUUUGGUUGGAGUUUGGUUUAAGGUUUGUUUAGGGUUUGGUUUAGGAUUUAGGAUUUGGUUAGGAUUUGGUUUAGGAUUUGGAUAGAAUUUAGUUAGGAUUUGAUUUAGGAUUUAGGGUUUGAUUAAGAGUUUAGGAUCUUAUUAGGGUUUGUUUAGAGUUUAAAAUUUAAUUAGUUUUAGUCUAAAGUUUGAAUGAAGUCCAAUAGUAUUUUAACUAGAAUUAAAUUAAGAUUGAAUUGAGAUGUAUUUGAGAGAUUUUUGUGAUCAUUUUAAUAUUUAUUGUCAAGGACAAAGACUCGAUGAGAGAAAAUAUACACAAAAAGGCUAUCUCGAUAUAAUAAGUCAAAAUAUAAACAAGUAGGUAUAUUAAAAGGAAACUGGAAUGGCUAUUGCCACAAGACAAGAAACUAAAGACUCUUGAACCUGGACUAGAAGCAAGAAAGGAGUUGACAAGAGUGAAGAAGCCUUCACUCUUGUCUCUAUAUAUACUAUCUAACUAGGGGCUACGUGGCGACGUUCUAUAGGACCUCCAAUAUGUGUUGACUUUGUAGGACACAUGCCUUGACUUACAAGGCAAGUUUUUCUACGUGUGGGCCAUAUAGUUAGCUUGAUCUUCAAGCUAAUAAUAUGUGUGGCACAUGGCCAACUUGUUGACCACGUUUCUAAUCCAAAAAGUCAAUUAAAGACACCUAUGAAGUCAAAGCAGCGUUUAGGAAGUUUCUAGGAAGCUUCUAUAUUAAAUAUUAUACAAUUAACUUACUUUUAUCUACUUUUACUUACUUCUACCUAUUUCUAUAUGUAAUUAUUAGCUUACAUGAUUAUGGCCGUGAUAUUACCCCCCCUUCUAGAGACGAGUUCCACGAGGAGCGGUCAUCAUAUGUUGAGGAAAUCUAUGAUGCAACGAAUUAUAUUCGCCACAUACUCUGAUCUCUGUUCUCUUCGAAGAUGAUUGAUAGGGCCUCUCAACCAUCGGUAGUGUCCCAUACCAGGGCGGAAAGACCACCCAGUUAUUUGAUCAUUAUUGAGGCCUUCAUAACUUCCUUAGAAUAGAAUAUUCGGAACACCAUCAGGAGUUGUUCCUACCUCUAGCAAAAUCACCAAACAUCGGGAGUCCCUUCCCAAAUCGUGAUACCAAACGUGUUGUAUCUCACCAUCUGUUCGAGGAAGAACAUGUCGUUCUUGAAGAUCUUCAUCUCGAUUGCGUCGUCUUGAAGGUUGUGACAAUCGUAAUGUCUCGUCCGGCAGGUCAAUAAACGAAGGUUCUUGAGUUGAAUCCGCUGGUUGUUGGCUCUCCAUCUAAUUAGCGUCACAAAUGUAAAGAAGUUACAAACAAGGAUAGAAAAUUGAAUGUUAUCUUGCCUCAAUCUUGUCUCUUUUAUAAGAGAGAUUUUCAUCUUAGUUUUGAUGGAUGUCGUUGAUGAAAAACUUUGACUUUAGCUGAUGCAUUUGCUAGAUUCCUAGAUGGCUCCCAUGUGCGUUCACUAAUAUCAUAUCUGCACCAAUGAACAAGAUAUUCCAGCUUAUUUCGGCGCCGCCUUGAGUCUAAUAUCUCUUCCACCUCAAAUUCUUCAUUAUUAUCUACUUCUAUAGGAGGCGGUGGCAUUUGUCUUCUUCUUUGUAUAUCCACUGUCUUAUAUGGUUCAAGAAGAGAUACGUGGAAUACAGGAUGGAUCUUCAUUGACUCUGGUAGAUGUAACCGAUAUGCAACUGGGUUGAUCUGUUCAGAAACAGAAAAGGGGCCAAGCCUACGAUAGUCCAACUUGUCACAAGGUCGAGUAGUCUUGAUAUUGCGAUGAAGUAGCCAUACCUUAUCACCCACGUUGAUUUGUGGUUGCUCCUUACGAUAUAGAUCUACGUUUAUCUUUUGUCGUUCUUGAGCUUCCUUCAAUUGUGUCUUCAUUAUUGCAUGUAACUCUGACAACCGAUUUGCCAUAUCUUCUGCUGCAGGAUUAUCAACUUUUGAAAAAUCAAAAGUAUCAAGUCGUGGAUGAUAGCCAUAAUUGGCAAAGAAAGGUGUUUGUUGCGUGGAAGAAUGUACCGUAUUAUUAUAAGCAAACUCUGCCAAUGGCAGAAGGGUUGUCCAAUCAUCUUGUUGGUAGUUGAUAGUACACCUUAAAUAUUGCUCCAAGACUUGGUUUACGUGCUCUGUUUGUCCAUCAGUUUGAGGAUGGAAAGCCGAAGAUAGCUUUAUGUCCACUUUUAAAAUCUUGAAAAGGGUCCUCCAAAAUCUUGACACAAAUUGAGUUCCCCUAUCCGAUAUGAUAUCUUUAGGUAAUCCAUGAUAGCGAUAGAUAUUAUCAAUGAAAAGCUUAGCUGUUUCUUCACCUAUGAUAGAUUUUGUACAUGGCACAAAAUGUGCCAUCUUGGUGAAACGAUCUACUAUCACAAAUAUAGAAUCAUAAGAUCUUGAGCUUGGAAGAUCUGUGAUGAAAUCCAUAGAAACAGAAGACCAUGGUUGUUCUGGUAUAGGUAAUGGCUGAAGAAGUCCGUAAGGUCGAUGACGAGGAAUUUUUGAUCUUGAACAAAUAUCACAUGAUUGUACAAAGUCUUUGACUGACUUCCACAUUUUUGGCCACCAAAAAUCUCUUGAUAUGAGUUCCAAAGUCUUAUUAUAUCCAAAGUGCCCUGCUGCUGGAAAGUCAUGACGUGCUUGAAGAACACGUAAACGUGCUUCUCCUUCUGGAACAUAUAGGCGUCCUUCAAAAUAUAAUAGAUUAUUCUUGAACUCAAACUUAGAAGGAUCAUGAGACUUGGAAGAAUUAUUCUCGAUAUCAUAAACAAGAGGGUCUGAGGACAUACUGGACUGAAUUUGCUUGAGAAAAGUUGAAUCAACAGUCAAUGUUGAUUUCAUUGCUCGGAGAUGAAAUUGCUCCGGUUUCAAGAGGACUGUUCUUUGUUGCUCAAAAGCUGCAUCUCCUUCUUUUGGUGCAAAAUAAGAACGUCUAGAUAGGGCAUCGGAUAAACCUUAUUGUUUUCCUGGCCGAUAAGUGAUAAUGAACUCGAAUCUUGACAAAGACAUACUCCAACGAGCUUGACGACGAUUCAACACGCGUGCUGACAUGAAAUACUCGAGGUUCUUGUGAUCUGUAUACACAGUGACUGGACUAGAAGCGCCUUCUAGAUAAUGAUGCCAUUCUUGAAAGGAAUCCACGAUCGCAAGAAGUUCUUUAUCGUGGAUCUCAUAAUUGAUCUCGGCUGCUGAGAAUUUUCUUGAAUGAAAAGCUAUCGGAUGGAAUUUGUCAUCUGUUCCCAUUUGUGAUAAAACUGCACCCAAGGCAAAAUCUGAUGCAUCUGUUUCCAUAAAAAAUGCCUUAGAAAAGUCAACACGAUAUAAGACUGGUGCAGAGACAAACGAUGUCUUCAAGGCUUCAAAUGCUGCUUCCGCUUCUUGAUUCCAUUAAAAUUUAUCUUUACUAGUCAAGCGUGUAAGUGGAGCUGCAACUCGUGAGAAAUAUUUGAUGAAGAUCCGAUAGUAAUUGGCAAAUCCCAAGAAACAUUGGACAUCUCUUACCGUCCUUGGAAUCUUCCAAUCCACGAUUGUUUGGACUUUCUUAGAAUCCAUCAUGAGACCAUCAUUUGAAAUGAUGUAUCCUAAAAAGUCAACUUGAGUAGUGUGAAAUACACACUUUUCCAUCUUGGCGUACAAUCCUGCAUCUCUAAGUUUUUGUAAUACUUGACGAACAUGUAUUUCAUGUUCUUCGACGUUCUUGGAAUAGAUCAGGAUAUCGUCUAGAUAGCAGACGACAAAAUUGUCUAAGAAUUCACGAAAUACAUCAUUCAUGAGAUGUUGAAAAGCAGCUGGUGCAUUCGUGAGUCCAAAGGGCAUGACAUUAUAUUCGAAAUGUCCAUACCUGGUUCGAAACGCAGUCUUCCAUUCAUCUCCUUCUUUGAUCCGUACUAGAUUAUAUGCUCCUCUUAGAUCUAUUUUUGUAUAGAUCUUAGCUUGAUUCAAUUGGUCAAGGAGUCCUGAUAUCAAAGGUAAUGGAUACCUGUUCUUGAUUGUGAUCUUGUUGAGUCCUCGAUAAUCAACACACAUUCGUAAAGAUCCAUCUUUUUUCUUUACGAAUAGAAUUGGAGCUCCUGCUGGAGAUUUUGAAUGGCGUAUGAAAUUCUUCGCUAAAUUCUCGUCAAUAUAUGUCUUGAGUUCGGCCAUCUCAUCUUGCGAUAAACUAUAAAUUGGUCCAAAUGGUGGCUGAGUUCCUUCCUUGAGGUCGAUUGAACAAUCAUAUGGACGAUGCUCAGGAAGAAUAUCUACAUUCUUUUUCUCAAAAACGUCUUGAUACUCCUGAUAUUGACUUGGAAUGCCACUUGAAGUCUUUACGUUUUCAGAAAUAGGUGCAGCAUAAAUAGCAAAAGUUGAUCCUUCUUUUGCUGCGUGUAUAAAUGCUUUUGCACCUAUCAGUACGGGUUUUACUGUACUAGACUUAUAAUUUUUUACUUGGUUCGUAGAACUAUUAAUAAUGCUUUUGGAAAAGUCAAGUUUACGCGAAUUCCAAUCUAUUCGAGGGUUAUAUUUUUCUAGCCAGGAUAAACCUAAAAUAACUGGAUUGGACGGGGAUUUAAUUAUGUUAAAAGCUAUGUAGCUAUCAUGACCGUCUAUUGUUACUUUUAUAGGAUGAGUUUCAUGAGUGACAUCUCCAGAAGACAAGGGACGACCAUCUAUGACUUCUACAUGUACUGGUUUAGGUUUCUGUACAAAGGGUAUUUUACGACUUUUAACAAAUUGUUCAUCUAAAAAACAUGCUGAGGCUCCCGAAUCUAAUAAAGCAGAGGCUUUGUAAUUCUUAAGUCCUAAAUAUAAGUCUAUUAUAAAACAAGGAGAGGGUUCUGAGGAGAGGAUAGGACCUUCAUUAGGAAUUGUACAAGGUUCCAGCUGCACGGUCCCUAUUGUAGCUGGACGAAUCCGUUUUCCGACAUGUUGUCUUCUUUGACCGUCGUACCCCUCAUUUUAUAGUUGCGUCGUUUCUUUGGACAAUGUUGAGCAGUGUGCUUAGGUUCUCCGCAAUAUAAACAUAAUCCUUCUUGACGACGACGAAUCUUUUCUUGCUCAGUUAGAGGUUUAAAACGUACCGCAUCAAUUUGCAUGUCUUCUACUUCCGAAUGUACGUUUGGCAAAGAUGAUGAUGUUGCCAUUGAGUAAUAACGUUGAGGUUCCCGUGAAUGAUUCUCAGAUCGAAAUUCAAAAAGUCGAUUAUCACAUUUUACCGCAAAAUCGAUUGCUUGACUCAAAGUUUGAGGAUCAGGUAAGUUGAGCAUCAAUUUCUUUACUUCGUAUUGCAAUCCAUAAAGAAAUUGACUAAUGAGUGCAGCAUCAUCCCACUUGAUGUCAAUUGCAAGUUGUCGAAAUUGUGAAGCAUAUACUGUUACUAAGCGAUUUCCUUGUCGCAGAAUUCGGAUCUUAUUUGUUGCAACACGAGUUGCAUCGUGUUCACCAUACAUAGAUCGAAACUCCGCCAAAAAAGCUUCCAAAUUGUCCAAUAUUGGAUUUCGUUGUUCAAGAAAAGACGAAAACCACGAUAAUGCAGAACCAGAAAGUAGAGUGCCAAUAAACCUGACUUGUGAUCCUGGAGUUGGAUAGCUUUGCGGUUGAAGUUCAAUUGCCAAUUGUACUUGAUUGAUGAACCCUCGAAACUUUGAUCUUGUACCAUCAAAUUUCUCAGGUAAGGCAAUUCUUGGUUCUCUAGUGCUUAUAGGGUGUUGUACAAUUGGAGAAGGAACGUGAUUUGUUGUAGAUGUUGAAGCAGCUCCGAUCAUCUCUAUAUCUCCACUUUCUGCUAUUCUUGUUCUUUCCUGUGUUGGUGAAUUGAGUUGAUGCAUCGCAAGCAUUAACUCCCUCAUUUGCUCUUGCAUUUGUGCCAUUGCACUCUUCAUUUCAACAAGCUCUGCCAUAAUGACACUAAGAAGAAAAAUUUGUUUGAUAUUGCUCAAGACAAAAGAAAAGAAAGACUUGAUAACAAAGAAGAUACUAAGAACAAUAUCAGUUUAGAAGUGGGUAAUCCGCAAACUUCUAAUAUGCUUAUGUCUUGUCAAGAGAAAGGGGUAAUCCACUCUUACUCAAGAAAAAACAAAGCUCUGAUAUUGUAAGUGUACUCUUGUCAAUCUGUCAAGGACAAAGACUCGAUGAGGAAAAAUAUACACCAAAAGGCUAUCUCGAUAUAAUAAGUCAAAAUAUAAACAAGUAGGUAUAUUAAAAGGAAACUGGAAUGGCUAUUGCCACAAGACAAGAAACUAAAGACUCUUGAAUCUAGACUAGAAGCAAGAAAGGAGUUGACAAGAGUGAAGAAGCCUUCACUCUUGUCUCUAUAUAUACUAUCUAACUAGGGGCUACGUGGCGAUGUUCUAUAGGACCUCCAAUAUGUGUUGACUUUAUAGGACACAUGCCUUGACUUACAAGGCAAGUUUUUCUACGUGUGGGCCACAUAGUUAGCUUGAUCUUCAAGCUAAUAACAUGUGUGGCACAUGGCCAACUUGUUGACCACGUUUCUAAUCCAAAAAGUCAAUUAAAGACACCUAUGAAGUCAAAGCAGCGUUUAGGAAGUUUCUAGGAAGCUUCUAUAUUAAAUAUUAUACAAUUAACUUACUUUUAUCUACUUUUACUUACUUCUACCUAUUUCUAUAUGUAAUUAUUAGCUUACAUGAUUAUGGCCGUGACAUUUAUUUAAGAUUUCUUAUUAUUUCUUUGAAAUUUCUUUGAGGUUUCUUUGAAUUUGAUUAAAUCUUACUUAGCAUUAUUACCAUUUAAUUAGAAUUUAGUUAGUAUUCUAUUAUAGUUAGGAUUUUGUUGUUGCAAUUUCUAUUCUACCUUCCAUAGCUACGUGCCCAGAGUAUUCUCAAGUAGGACUUCACGUAUUAUGACAAUAAUUUGAUACUUAUGACUUUUCAAAAGUUAAUAAUCUUGUCGCAAAAGAUUUGGAAAAUUAUUUGUUAGAGCUACAUGCAAUAAUAAAGGUGCAAUUAAAGAAGCUCAAGAAUGACAAAAGAUCAAUAUAGAUGCUUAUCGAAAGGAACAACCACAAUUCAAUAUAAAUGACAAGAUAUGGUUACUAUGUCGUAAU